AAUAAACUGGUUCUUAAUUAAAAGAGAAAUGUAUAUACUUUCAAGUUACAAAGCUGUUUUGUGUUUUCACCUGACAACAAUUCUAUUAAUUUAAAAGUGAAUGAACACAGAUUGAUGAUGUCGUAUUAUACGCUUGCAAGUGAAUAAUUCAACGGUGAUGUUUCUGAGCUUAUUUUGACAAAAUUGCAUCUAACUGGCUGCUAUAAGGACUUACUAUUUCAUUCAUUUUUAUAAAUAAUUGAACAAAAAAACUAUAUUUUAUUUUUUUGUUAUAGCUUGU
rnacentral:lncRNA from 1 species